rnacentral:rRNA from 1 species
UGGGGAAUAUUGGACAAUGGGGGCAACCCUGAUCCAGCAAUGCCGCGUGUGUGAAGAAGGUCUUCGGAUUGUAAAGCACUUUCGACGGGGACGAUGAUGACGGUACCCGUAGAAGAAGCCCCGGCUAACUUCGUGCCAGCAGCCGCGGUAAUACGAAGGGGGCUAGCGUUGCUCGGAAUGACUGGGCGUAAAGGGCGUGUAGGCGGUUUACACAGUCAGAUGUGAAAUCCCCGGGCUUAACCUGGGAGCUGCAUUUGAUACGUGUAGACUAGAGUGUGAGAGAGGGUUGUGGAAUUCC